AUAUACGGGAGCAAGUGUUGGGCUUCACGUUGUGAAAUGCGGUGGUGGGUUAGUGAUGGUAAAUACGGUAGCACUUCCUUUCUGGGAACGUUCUUCCCGCGCUGCUCGCCAUAUGAGUUAUAUACGGUAACCGGGCGUGCGCUCAAUGGGCGUAGAUACGGUGCGGGGUGCCUCCUCAGCGCGGCUGGGUGGCGGCGUCCCAGCCCGGUCUCCUCGGCCCUGGCUGGAAAUAAAGGCCGAUCGUCUGCGGGGCUGUUUUACCUCGCUCUCUGCAGGCACCUGUGAAGUACAGCACAACCCACACGUAAUGGAGCACAGCACUGCAGGAGAGGCACGUGAGCAGCAGUGCAAAUCGCUGACAGAUGAAAGGGAGGCAGCACAAGAGGAGUGAGUAUGCGGAGCUGCAAGGACAGCCCUUGCUUGACUCAAAAACAGCUGCACAAGACUUCAGCCAUGCAGCACUUGUCCGCAGUUGAGUUCCUGGACUGCCUCACUGCAUGGCCACAGAGUUGUUCCAAAGUAACACUGGGAAUGGUGUACUAGCAGAAAAAAACAGAAGUGGAGAUUCCCAGUGCCUAUUCAGUGCCCUCAGACACAGCCUGUGUCUGAGGCUUGUUCUAUCCAGUUUCAACCCCAUCACUUACUGUCAUCUUUUUGUGGGCCACGUCACUGCUCCUGGCGUAACCACAUUGCAGUAUCCAGCCAUAUGGGCCCGUAACAUGCCUCAUCUGGAAAGCUUGAGGUUCAUGUGAAGGUAACUCACAAAGAUCAGGUGUUUUUAAGCUGCUUUUUCCACCAUCCUCACAAAGGCCCAAGUGGAACCACCUGCUGGAACUCGCCAAGACCUGAGUGAUCUCCUUUUGCUGACAGGUUCUGAAAAAGUAGACAAGGGGUCAGAUCAUUGUAAGUGUCUAUUGAUAUUUCCUUUCUGCAUUUUGCUUUCUCACUGGUAAGUAGGCUAAGCAGGUUAUGUUAUCAUAAAGAAAGCUUCCUUUUAUUCUAAUUUGCCCUGAAUUGAGGUCCUAGCUCUGUCCCCUAAUUCUAAGAAAGAAGCUAGAGGAGAAACUGAGUUUAUAAGAAAUAAUUUAAACUCACAAGAUACAAAGCAGAGAGUAAACACUGUGAAAGAUAAAAAAUGAGAACUUGUUGAGAUCUGAAGAGAAACCAGUUCAGCUUCCUCAUUUAUUCUACAGCUCUCUUGGAAUGUGGUCUUUACACAACACGCCGCUUGGUUACCUGAACUGGGUUACCAGCAGAAGGGGUAUGUCAACGGCCAAUUGCCUAAUGGUAUUGCAGAGUAAAAUGGUUAAAUUAUCAGCGAUCAUCUUCCAUGUCGUGCUCUGAGUGCAGUUUUAAUCAUCCCUUAGUGUUAGGCAGUAAAUGCAUUUGGCUUGGAAAAGGAGGAGCAAAUCAGCAGCACUGGCACAUAGUUUUGAAAACCAGACCAACAAAGUAUAAAAUUAACACUUGCUUCAGUGUUAGGAAGGAUUUGCAUGUCUUCUCAUUAAUUACCUAAAUAACAGAAUGACCUUAAGCAAAGGAGAAAUUGUAAAGACGGAACUUUUCAGAAAUGCUGAGUAUCUGACUUCUGACCUCAGCUUCUCUGAAAUUCAGGCUCAGAAUGUCUCAAUGUAGCACUGUGUCAUAUGACACUGUGUUCCUAGGGUUUCAUGUUCCAGGAACACAUUUCUCUCUUACCUACAAAACUUGGUAAACAAUGUCAUGUCACAAAGGGGGAACACAGUUCUGGUCUGAUGGCAGAAGCAGCCUGUUUUCUGUGUCACGAGGCCUUACACACCAUGCUAUGAGUGGCUGGGGCACUAGUUUACUCACCCUUGCAACUCCCACGAAAUCAUCAGCUUGAAGUUCUGCUGCUUCUAGUGUUGCUUCCAAAUCCACUCUCAUGACCAGCGUACCCACAAAUGGUAGCAGAUUGGAUGAUGAAAGCCAUUCACUGCUCAUGCUCUGAGAGACAGUUGUUUUCAUUGCAGAGACAUUAACCUGGACGUCCAAGCGUGGGAUAAGAAGGGAAGAAUAUGUAGUUCAUCACAGAGUCAUACGAACGCAGAGGCUCUUUCUCCUGCUCACCACAGGUCAUUUCUCACAGCAUUGAUGCACAACAUACAGAGUGAUCAAAAGUGGCUGAAAGUAGAGGCAGUGCCCCUGGGCAGGAGAGAAAGUGGGUGAUCUCAGAGUCUGUCAGAAAGUACCUGCUGUGCGGAAAUGCUGCAGGAGAACGGUAUGGUCAGGUAGCUGAAGGUUUAUUUCUGCAGUUUUUCCCAACUUGAACUUGAUACCUGAAUGAAGAUUUUCAAAAUUAAAUGUACCUUAUUUUUCAGAAUUAGUAAUUUUCAGAUUUAAAUAGCCUGACCAGUAAUUAUUUACAGUUGUCAAUGAACCGCUGGCUGGUAGCUGGCAGGCAGGCAAAAGAGUGCAGGUUGGUUGAUCCUUUGCUUUAUUUCCAGGUGUUGCUCAAGGGUCUCUGAAGAUCUAAAGAGAAAGGUCAGAGUUUCUACUUUGAUUGAAAAUUUCUUCUAUCUUACAGGAGGAAGAGAGGAAAAAUUGGGGAUCUUUGGAGCUGGAGACCAGACAGACAAAGAUUUGGAAAAAAAGGACAUAGUGGUUAGGCACGUGAUUUGGGAAGAAAAUGUGGAACAACAGUUCUGAUGGGGAAAGGAAGAUGGAGAAGUGUGUUCAAGUAAUAUGGGAGAGUAAAACAAAUUGUAGAAGAAAGAAGGAUAAGAGAAAAAGGAAAACUAGGAAAACCUGGUAUUACUUUAAAGGCAAAACUUUAGAACUCCUAAAUAUUUCCCAUGUUGUAAGGAGUCCCUGCAACCUUCAGAUAAAUUGCAUGAAUUGCAUUUGAGAUUAGGAGGGGAAAAGUUCAUAGGAUGAUUUUUUUUUUCCUGUUAUGAUGUGUUUCACAAUUCACAAUUUAAGAACACAUGGUCUAAUCAGAAUAUUUGCAAAUGUCAUGCCGUAUUUUCUUCUGGUUUGCUUUUUUGGUGAGAUACAAAAUGUCUGCAGUGAGAGUGCCCAGUAUUUCUCCUGAUCUGGCCUCUAAGGUCUAAGUUCUUCCAGAAACCAGCUAUUCAUAGUGAGUGGGCCAAUAACCGAUGCACAAGGAACAAACUUUUCACCCUCACUAUAUGCAACCACACAUAUAGUUACUUUUUAAGAAAUAUAUUCAGGGCAUCAUUAAACCAGUAUUCUGCAAUGGAAAAUAAUUAAAAUUCAGAGCAACAUCAAAAGGGUCAGAAUAUGUUUAAUUGAAACAUUUUAGAAAAGCUGCCAACAUUCUGAGAAAUGAAUUGUUGUACAUGUAUUCCUAUGGGAAAUUAUUAAAUUAAUUGAAAAAGCUAUAAUAUGACUGAUAGCACUUACUAUCGUAAUAAAUGAGCAUCACAGAGUCAGUGUUAAUCAGGAUUAGAGAUUGAAUGGAGACAGUCUGAUAGGUGUAGACUGUUUUCACCUAAGGCAGUUCUGUGAAAGAAACCUUUUCAUUUCACUCUUGAACAUUAUGUACCCAGUGCUAGACCAGUUUCCUGUCAAAUCGCUUGGCCAAAUGCAGAAAUCCAGAUCUACAAAUAUCUGUGAUAAGGAAAUUCGCACACCUUUUCUACUGCACACAAAUACUAGUUCCCUUUUGCCUGUGGACAGACUACAGGAUCAGCUUUUUGGCCCGCGUCCCACAACAAAAUAGGCUAAAGCCAAUGAUGGCAGAAAAGUGUCAGAUGCUUGUGUAAGACAUUAUUAAUUAAUAUGAUGUAAUAAUUUCUGAAUAAGUAAGGCUAGUACAGAGAAAAUAAAAGGAAUCCACAGGAAGACUGAUAAGUGGUUUUAUAAGAUCUAAAAAAAGCUGGCAUGCCAUUAUUCUGUAGAAAUCCUUAUUGUAGCUGAACCAGCAUGUUUGCUUUUAUAUGUGGAAUUACUUGCUGUACUGGUGAUAUAAUUUCAUGCAAAUACUUUAAUAAACUUUCAGCUUGAUUUAGCUGUA